GACGAACGCUGGCGGCGUGCCUAAUACAUGCAAGUCGAACGCAUUUUCUUUCACCGUAGCUUGCUACACCGAAAGAAAAUGAGUGGCGAACGGGUGAGUAACACGUGGGUAACCUGCCCAUCAGCGGGGGAUAACGCUUGGAAACAGGUGCUAAUACCGCAUAAUUCCAUUUACCGCAUGGUAAAUGGAUGAAAGGCGCUUUUGCGUCACUGAUGGAUGGACCCGCGGUGCAUUAGCUAGUUGGUGGGGUAACGGCCUACCAAGGCUGCGAUGCAUAGCCGACCUGAGAGGGUGAUCGGCCACACUGGGACUGAGACACGGCCCAGACUCCUACGGGAGGCAGCAGUAGGGAAUCUUCGGCAAUGGACGCAAGUCUGACCGAGCAACGCCGCGUGAGUGAAGAAGGUUUUCGGAUCGUAAAACUCUGUUGUUCGAGAAGAACAAGGAUGAGAGUGGAAAGUUCAUCCCUUGACGGUAUCUAACCAGAAAGCCACGGCUAACUACGUG
rnacentral:rRNA from 1 species